GUACCUGUAGCUCAGUUGGAUAGAGCGUCUGGCUACGGACCAGAAGGUCGGGGGUUCGAACCCCUCCAGGUACGCCA
rnacentral:tRNA from 1 species